rnacentral:pre_miRNA from 1 species
AGCCUUCUGUAUCCUUGCCGAGAUUUCGUCAGCGACCAACCCGUUGGCACUGAUGCAACUCUUUAAUUAUGUGAAGUG